CCGACUUCACCGACUCCGCUCUCAGUCAAUCACCAUAUAAAUAUAAAGCAAUUUCUAGGGUUUGCUUUCAGCUGGCAUUCUACAGACUCGAGGCAGCUGUGUGGAUUUAUCCACAAGCUCUUUCAUCAGCCGACUUCUGGGUCAAUCUAGUGGUCGAGAAUGAUUCUGCCCGUGCGACCACCUCUCCUACAAAUCCAAAUUCGAUGGUUGUGUUAGACUAUUCAAGGUCCAGAUUCACUUUAUCCUUUCUCUAGACAAUGUCCCACUAUCCUCCACCAUUGCUUUCAACAAGGAAGAAAUGGUGGAUGCUGAAAAGCAAUGGGGUGAUUCGCUUGUUGGCUAUUUUGUGGGGGAAAAGCCCUAUUUUAUGAUGAUGAAGGCUGCCCUUAAGAAUUCCAUUCUCUCGAGGAUGGGGUUUUU